GAACUACAUUUUUUUUAUCAAUUCGAACAACUAAUUUAUUGUAUUAGCUACGUAUAACGUACGUCUUUGGCACUCGUACAUACACACAGCUAGCAACACUCAUUAAUUAAUGACAAGUGCUUGUUCACAGUUCCGUCCGAAUAUUCCCUUAGGCCUUGGUGAGACAUAAACUGGCCUGGCAGCGUAGUAGACCGGGUUGGAUGGCGGCGCCAUAGGCGAGGAUGCGAUUUGCGGCUGGAGUCCGGACGGUGCACCCUCUGGGGCGCCGCGUACCACUCGAGACGGAGACCCCGGAGCUGGCUGAUAUAAAGGAGCAGCCACCUGAAAAAAUAUAUUUAAUGAUGCCAUAAUCAAAAAAGAUCGUCAUAAAGUCGAAUAUAAUUAUUUUCAAAUUUGAAUUUAACAUUAAUAAUUGUUAUUUGCUAAAUUAUAUUGUCAAUUUCUUGUGCCUGUUAAGUGAUUUUCAUCAUAUUUUUUGUUUACUUGCAAUAGCACAAGUAUAAUGUAUUGUAAAUAAGCUACCCUAAUGUAGAUUAAACGUUUAGAUUUUUUCAGGAUAACUGUAAACAAACAAAUAGUAAUACAAUAUGUCAUUAAUAAACGACCUUUACUGAUA